rfam:Oryza barthii chromosome 5, whole genome shotgun sequence.
AAUAAGUUGAUUCGUGGGUUUCAGUGUCCAACAUUGAACUUCCGUCUUAUAUGAAAUUUUAUAUAAUUAGUAUUUUCAUUGUUAUUUGAUGAUAAGACAUGAAUAAUACUUUAUGUGCGACUUAUCUUUUUAAUUUUUUUCAUAAUUUUUUCAAAUAAAACGGACGGUCAAAACUUGUACACGGAAACCCAUAAAUAAACUUAUU